CCUACGGGGGGCAGCAGUGGGGAAUAUUGGGCAAUGGGCGCAAGCCUGACCCAGCAACGCCGCGUGAAGGAAGAAGGCUUUCGGGUUGUAAACUUCUUUUCUGAGGGACGAAGAAAGUGACGGUACCUCAGGAAUAAGCCACGGCUAACUACGUGCCAGCAGCCGCGGUAAUACGUAGGUGGCGAGCGUUGUCCGGAAUAACUGGGCGUAAAGGGAGCGUAGGUGGUUGAUUAAGUUAAAUGUGAAAGCCCAGGGCUCAACUCUGGAACUGCAUUUAAUACUGGUCGGCUAGAGUACAGGAGGGGUAAACGGAAUUUCUAGUGUAGCGGUGAAAUGCGUAGAUAUUAGGAAGAACACCGGAGGCGAAGGCGGUUUACUGGACUGCAACUGACACUGAGGCUCGAAAGCGUGGGGAGCAAACAGGAUUAGAUACCCGAGUAGUC
rnacentral:rRNA from 1 species